UAACGCGUGAGAACAUGCCUUUAGAUUGGGGACAACAGUUGGAAACGACUGCUAAUACCGAAUGUGCCUUAGGGUGAAAGAUUUAUUGUCUAGAGAUUGGCUCGCGUCAGAUUAGCUAGUUGGAGUGGUAACGGCACACCAAGGCGACGAUCUGUACUUGGUCUGAGAGGAUGACCAGGCACACUGGAACUGAGACACGGUCCAGACUCCUACGGGAGGCAGCAGUGGGGAAUUUUCCGCAAUGGGCGAAAGCCUGACGGAGCAAUACCGCGUGAGGGAGGACGGCUUUUGGGUUGUAAACCUCUUUUAUCAGGGAAGAAUCGAUGACGGUACCUGAUGAAUCAGCAUCGGCUAACUCCGUGCCAGCAGCCGCGGUAAUACGGAGGAUGCAAGCGUUAUCCGGAAUUAUUGGGCGUAAAGCGUCCGUAGGUGGUUUAUCAAGUCUGCUGUCAAAGCGUGCGGCUUAACCGCAUAAGGGCAGUGGAAACUGAUGAACUAGAGUGCGAUAGGGGUAACAGGAAUUCCCAGUGUAGCGGUGAAAUGCGUAGAUAUUGGGAAGAACACCAGCGGCGAAAGCGUGUUACUGGGUCUGCACUGACACUGAGGGACGAAAGCUAGGGGAGCGAAAGGGAUUAGAUA
rnacentral:rRNA from 1 species